UCGGGUAUGGUGUAACGGCUAACAUUGCCGCCUUUCAUUGCAUAUUCAACCGCAUGGUUUAUAAAUGUUCCGCGGCAGCUCGGGGUUCGAUUCCCCGUACCCGAA